UACAGGGGAUGCAAGUGUUAUUCGGAAUUAUUGGGCGUAAAGGGUCUCUAGGUCGAAAUUUAAGUCUUUUGUUAAAUACCAGGGCUUAACCCUGGCUCUGCAAAAGAAACUGAGUUUCUAGAGUAUGGUAGAGGUUUAGGGAAUUUCCAGUGGAGCGGUGAAAUGCGUAGAUAUUGGAAGGAACACCAAAAGCGAAGGCACUUAACUGGGCCAUUACUGACACUGACGGACGAAAGCUAGGGGAGCAAAC
rnacentral:rRNA from 1 species